UACGGAGGAUGCAAGCGUUAUCCGGAAUUAUUGGGCGUAAAGCGUCCGCAGGUGGCACUUCAAGUCUGUCGUCAAAGACCGGGGCUUAACCCUGGAAAGGCGAUGGAAACUGAAAGGCUAGAGAGAGGUAGGGGUAGAGGGAAUUCCCAGUGUAGCGGUGAAAUGCGUAGAUAUUGGGAGGAACACCAGUGGCGAAGGCGGCUCACUGGACCGGUUCUGACGCUGAUGCGCGAAAGCGUGGGGAGCAAACGGG
rnacentral:rRNA from 1 species